rnacentral:rRNA from 1 species
UUGACCUCAAAUCAGGUAGGACUACCCGCUGAACUUAAGCAUAUCAAUAAGCGGAGGAAAAGAAACUAACAAGGAUUCCCCUAGUAACUGCGAGUGAAGCGGGAAAAGCUCAAAUUUAAAAUCUGGUGGUCUCUGGCCAUCCGAGUUGUAAUCUANAGAAGUGUUAUCCGCGCUGGACC